UCUCAGAAUUGAAUCGGCGAGUUGUGUAUUUGCUGACAAUCCGAGCCUGCUUGGAUCAUUUUGGAAGAUACAUACGCCGCGCUUUUCAAAGCGGACAGACGUGCCCUUGUCCAACUUGACAAAGGCGGAAUUAUUUUAGGAAAGACCAUGGCAACUAGUAAAGCAGAAUCCGAGAAUUCAAUCGGCGGCUGUAUGUUGACUGACAAGAAUAUAAUUGCUGUUAAUCCGGCCCUGCUUCGUGUACAAAUGCAUAGUGGGGAGACAUGAACAUUUUUCGAAAUUGCGGCCCUAUCCUCUUGGGAUUCUACGUUGGACAAAUUCUGAAAACGACCCCAGAAAUAUAAUUGGAGGUUCAAACCCGUGCGAGGUGAGCUUUCAUAUAUGAAACAGACCAGUCAUGGGGACACGAGAUAUGGAAAGUUUCAGCGUAGUCGUCGCCACAUUGCUGCCAACACUGCAUAUAUAAGGAAUCGCGAACCAUUCACGAAUAUUGAGACUUAGACCAGUAUCUUUUUAAGUAGGCAUGUGGGGUAAAGAAGACGCAGAAGCUUCAGUCGGGUACCAUCGGUAACGUAGGCGAUUGAUAUAUUUCCACCACUACAUAUGUUGGAUUGGAAUUUCCCAUUUGCUGGUUUGACUGACUAAAUGAGAAAACUUGGAGGUAAGCUCUUACGGAAUUCUGUGGAAAUAUGUUUAGUAACAUAUUGGUGCAUUACUCUGUCUUCCAGUCAGUUUCACAUAAACUUUGCACGUAUUAUAGAAAUGCCACCUACUUUUUUUUGUGUUAAUAUUAUUGAAAGUAGUAGCUGGUAGCUGUAGUCGUAAGCCCAGAGAGUCUCUGUUUUGAACAUAAUACACAAAAUGGGGCGUUCAAAAACAAUAGACUGCAUGCCUUUUAGAGUCGGCGUAAACUAUGGUCAUAUACCCCUGCAUUAAAAAUAAUAGUAAAAUUUAUUGUAGGCACCUAGUAGAGUAUCGAAAAUUUCCAUUUUAGUGCCAAAUUGGUUACUCCAGUAAAUUCCAACUGUUCUAAUUUUUUUUAAAUAAUUUAUGAUGUUAGUGAGUUUCAUUGCAAUUAUUUGUUACUUAAAUUUUCUGCGUAUUAAACCUUAAUUAACAAUACGCUAUUCGUUAACGCAGGUAGAAUGAAUGACGCUGACUAACCUGAUUUUGUCCAGGGGGGCGUAGUACGGUAGUUUGUACUGUGAUGUUUGGUAGUUUGGCAGUGAGCUCUCAUUUAUAAAACUGGGGAAUGUUUCGUUAUCUUCAAAUCGUAAACACGUAUCAUUAGAAUUAUAUUUUUAAAAUAUUGAUUAGGACAUGUACUAAGUAACUAAAUGCUCUAGCAAAAAUUUUCACACAUAUUGCGGAAAACGUACAAAUUUAUAUUAGAGAAAAUUAACUAUUUUUAGAGGUUGGUUUUUCAAAAAGGCGGGGAUUUAGUUAA